GAUCUAAAUAUUUUCAUUGUUUAAUUAAUUAAUAUGAAUUGACUAUUUCUGAUGGCUAAAGUUAUUUUCAACUGCGUGGUGAACGCAUGCCCGAAACGUGCUUUGACUGUGUACUGUGGUGUAACUGAUUAAUUUAUUUAGAAAAAAAAAGUUAAUCUCCUGAAAAGAGUGAAACAUUAUAUUUAAAUGGAAUGAAUCAACAAAUUCUAACUGAAGUCUCCGGUUUUCUUCAGCCUGCAUCCCAUAAUAGUCACUGAGAAUUUCCUCUACUAUCGUACUCAAGUGUACAUGAAAAUUUACUAAAAUUUUUUGGAGUGGUGAGAUCACUGGACGAUCGUCUAAUCGACCUCAAGGUCCGGUGACGAAUUGUUACGCCAAUUGUAGAUAAUCAAUAUAGUUUGGAGUAUUUCACGAAGGAAUUACUGGCAUCAGGAACGUCUCUCAGGCUGCAGUGAGAAACUAAAUGAGUAAAGAUCUUCGCUGAAGUACAAGAACGAAGUAUUUCCAGAAAGUUCAGUUAUUUUGAUUCGCACAUUUACAACUUACAAAGAAAAAAAUACAAAAACAGAUACAAGAGCUCAAACAAAGACUCAGAUUCGAACUCAAGAACUUAAACACAAAGACUCAGAUUCGAACCCAACAACUUGAACACAAAAACUCAGAUUCGACAAGAACUCAGAUCCAACAAGAACUCAGAUUUAACAAGAACUCAGAUGCAACAAGAAGUCAGAUUUAACAAGAACGCAGAUGCAACAAGAACUCAGAUUCAAUAGGAACACAAACAUCAGCGAUCUACAUAAGGCAGUCACAUUAGUUAACAGUAAUUGUCAAUAAUAGAUAAUAACAUCAGAGAACAGAGAAAUUUGAAUUGUAUAUGUUUUGAAGUAUUCGAGCUGAACGGACAAAUAAAAAUUCUUCUA